rnacentral:rRNA from 1 species
UACGAGGGGGGCAAGCGUUGUUCGGAAUUAUUGGGCGUAAAGGGCGCGUAGGCGGUGCGGUAAGUCUGAUGUGAAAUCUCCGGGCUCAACUCGGAGUCUGCAUCAGAAACUGCCGUGCUUGAGUGUGGGAGAGGUGAGUGGAAUUCCCGGUGUAGCGGUGAAAUGCGUAGAUAUCGGAAGGAACACCUGUGGCGAAAGCGGCUCACUGGACCAUUACUGACGCUGAGGCACGAAAGCUAGGGGAGCAAACAGG